GCGAGGUCCGCGUUGGGAGGGACGCGCGGUGAGGAGAGGGCUGGCGGGGAAGGACACGACCCCCAGACGGGUCUGAGAACCUGGCAGGGGCACCGCCUGCACUCCAGAGUCAGGCCCCCGACGCGGCGGAGCUCCUUGUGUUCCUUUUCGCAGCAGCUUCAGAGUCCUCCGACCUGAGCGAGUGGAGGACACUCAGGAGGGUGACCUUUGGCGGACCCUAGUUGGAAACGACUUUCAGGGGAGUUUUUUUUCUUAUCAUUGUCCUGGGUGGGGAGGUGCAGUCAGAAAUGAGCAGGCCGAAUCUGGGAGAAACUGGGGUUUGUCCCAAGUCGACUGUCUCCCUUUAGCCCUGCCUUUCACCCACAGGAGGCCUCUGUUGCCUGAACUUAAGAAAAGGAUCAAAUAAGUAAAACAGAUUGUCCUCUUUGCCUCCCAUGCUGUCGCCGUUGCCUACAGAACAAGCUUGUUCCACAACAUUGAGCCCAGGCCUUGCAUCUAGUGGGCGCCAGGAGGUAGUUGGGGCCUGAUCUAAAGCGAGAUUAAUUACCAAAGAGCAGGAGGUAUUGUUGAGAAACCCCUGCGUCAUACCUUUUGGAGGGCGCUCCGGCUCUUGUAUUCAUUUUUUCUCAGCUCAAGAUCAUGAGAAGUACAACUUCAACUGAAGUCAGUUUGUCAGAAACAUCGAUCUGUUGCUUCAUUCCUUGGACCUAACUGGUGGCUUCAUAGUGCCUGGUUUUCACAGUACCUUGUAUGCACCGGAGGCACCCAGUAAAUACCUGUUGAGUGGAUACUUCUAUUGUCUUUAUUAAAAGAAAAAGAUUUCUAUUACUUCCUUAAUAUUUUGUGACCUGAACCCCUUUUGCUCCCUGAAUACACUUGAUUUAUUAGUCUAAAAUAAAUUACAUAUUUUUUUUAAAAAAGGGAAAAAUGGUAGAUGAAUUUUUAUCGUUUUUAAGUAUCAAAUUCCUCCUCCUUGGUAACACCAGUUAUAUGGGGUCAUCACUCCUACCUCUGGAGGUUGAUGGGCAGAGUCAGAAUUCUGGCAUUAUUAAAGCAAUUGUAUUUCCCGAAUUUAAUUAGACUUGUUUUUCUACUGGAGUUAGAGAACAACAAAGUGUUCCUUUGUUGUGUUUAUAUCUUCCACUGUUUCAUUACCCUACUGUCUGCCUUUCUGGCUUUGUACUCAGAAGAGCAUUUAUUAAUGUACUAAUAACACUGACAAUUUCUUUCUUAAAGACCACCCUCUCCCCUUCCUUGGGAUGUCAUUGCUCUUAUCCAGGGUAAUGAAACCCAUCCUGUUUCCACUCAGUUUCUAGCCCUAAUGAGUGUCAUUGAUUCAGGUGUUUGACCAACAAGUGAUAUAUAGAUGUGUCACUUUACAAAAGAUACAUUCUGAAGAAUGUGUUGUUAGGGCUUUUGUGUGAACAACAAAGAGUGUACUUACACAAAUACAUGGUAUACACCUAGGCUAUAUGGUAGAACCUAUUGCUUCUAGUCUACAAACCUGUUCAACAUGUUAUUGUCCUAAAUACGCAAAUACCACUGUGUUACAACUGCCUAUAUAGUUGGAACACAAUGGUAUUUGUGUAUCUAAACAUAGAAAAGGUACAGUAAAAAUACACAUCAAACACUUAAAAUGGUCCACCUAUAUAGGGCACUUACCAUGAAUGGAGCUGGCAGGACCGGAAGUUGCUGUGGGUGAGUCAGUGCGUGGUGAAUGAAUGUGAAAGACCAAGACAUUGCUGUAUACCAUGGUGGACUCUAGAAACACUGUACACUUAGGCUACAUGAAAUUUCUGAAAAAAUAUUUUUCUUUCUUCAAAAAGAAGAAUAGCUUCCUGUAACUUCCUGUAACUUCUUAGCUUCCUGUAACUUUUUUUCUUUUUUUUUUUUUUUUUUUGUGAUGGAGUCUCGUUCUGUCGCCAGGCCAGAGUGCAGUGGCGCACUCUUGGCUCACUGCAACCUCUGCCUCUUGGGUUCAUGUGAUUCUCCUGCUUCAGCAUCCCAAGUAGCUAGGAUUACAGGCACACGCCACCAUCUCCAGCUAAUUUUGUAUUUUUAGUAGAGACAGGGUUUCACCAUGUUGGCCAGGAUGGUCUCUAUCUCUUAAUUUCGAGAUCCACCCACCUCGGCCUCUUGAAGUGCUGGGAUUACAGGCGUGAGCCACCGCACCCGGCCAGCUUCCUGUAACUUUUUUACUUAAGCUUUUGAAUUCUUUUUAACUUUUGACUCUUUUAUAGUAACACUUGGCUUAAAACACAAGCAAGGCUAGGCAUGGUGGCUCAUACCGUAAUAUGCAGCACUUUGAGAGGCCAGACAAGAGGAUUGCUUGAGACCAGCCUGAGCAACAUAGUGAGACCCUAUCUCUAAAAAAAAAUUUUUUUUAAUUAGUUGGGCAUGCUGGUUCAUGCCUGUGGUCCUAGCUACUGGGGAGGCUGAGGGAGGAGGAAUGUUUGAGACCAAGAGUUCCAGGUUGCAGUAAGCUAUGAUCAUACCACUGUACCCCAGCCUGGGCAACAGUGAGAUACUCUCUUCAAAAAUGAAACAAGUCCAGUGGCAGAGUCUGGGAAGGAGGCUGCAGGUGCUAUGUCCACCUUCAUAGGUGGCAGGAAGAAGCCCCGGAAACAGCCCAAGAAGCAGGCCAAGGAGAUUGAUGUGGAAGAUAAGUUUUUUAAACAAAAAGAGUAGAUGAAACUGGAGGAUCUAAAGGCAAAGGCCACAGGGAAGAGGCCCUUGGCCAUAAGUAGAAUUAAGAAAUCUGGCAAAAAGCAAGCUAUUCCAUGUGCCUGAGGCAGUCGACAGUGACCCUUGAUUCCAUUUGUAUUUAAACAUCUGGAUUACCUGCUAUAACAUCUUUUUUUUUUUUUUUGACAUGGACUCUCACUCUGUCACUCGGGCUAGAGUGCAGUGACACAAUCUUGCUUACUGCAACCUCUGCCUCCCGGAUUCAAGCAAUUCUCCUGCCUCAGCUUUCCGAGUAGGUGGGAGGGUGCCUACCAUCACACCUGGCUAAUUUUUGUAUUUUUAGUAGAGAUGGGGUUUUACCAUGUUGGCCAGGCUGGUCUUGAACUCGACCUCAAGUGAUCUGCGUGCCUCAGCCUCCCAAAGUGCUGGGACUACAGGUGUGAGCUGCUACACACGGCCCCCUGCUAUAACAUCUUUUGCCACUUGUAGUCAGAAUGAAGUGUUGUCCUGGAGCCUGUUGUACAUUGUACAUGUAAGAAUAUUUGAGAACAGAUCAAAACACAGACACACAUUGUACAGCUGUAUGAUUUUUUUUUAAAGAGACAGAGAGUCUUUGUCACCCAGUCUGGAGUGCAGUGGCUCCAUCAUAGCUCACUACAGCCUUGCCAAGGCUCAAGGGAUCCAUCCACCUCAGCCUCCCACUAGAUAGGACUAUAGGCGUGCAUCACUACACCCAGCUAAUUUGUUGUUGUUUUGAGACAGGGUCUCGCUUUGUUUCCCAGGCUGGUCUCCAGCUCAUGGCCUCAAGCAGUCCUCCCACCUUGACCUCCCAAAGUGCUGGGAUUACAAGCAUGAGCCACCUCACCCAACUCAUUUUUUUUUCGUUAUAUCCUAUCCUGUAAGUUUUUUUCCACUUAAAUUUUUGUUUAACUUUUUUAAC